rnacentral:rRNA from 1 species
UACGUAGGGGGCGAGCGUUGUCCGGAGUUACUGGGCGUAAAGGGCGCGCAGGCGGUCUGGCAAGUUUGGAGUGACAGUGCUCGGCUUAACUGAGCAAGGCCUUCGAAAACUGCUAGACUUGAGCACUCAAGAUGGACAUAGAAUUCCGGGUGGAGUGGUGAAAUGCGUAGAUAUCCGGAGGAAUACCAAAGGCGAAGGCAGUGUCCUGGGGAGUGUCUGACGCUCAGGCGCGAAAGCUAGGGGAGCGAACAGG